CAGCAGCCGCGGGAAUACGAAGGGGGCUAGCGUUGUUCGGAAUUACUGGGCGUAAAGCGCACGUAGGCGGAUAUUUAAGUCAGGGGUGAAAUCCCAGAGCUCAACUCUGGAACUGCCUUUGAUACUGGGUAUCUUGAGUAUGGAAGAGGUGAGUGGAAUUCCGAGUGUAGAGGUGAAAUUCGUAGAUAUUCGGAGGAACACCAGUGGCGAAGGCGGCUCACUGGUCCAUUACUGACGCUGAGGUGCGAAAGCGUGGGGAGCAAACAGGAUUAGAUACCCCUGUAGUCCCUGUCUCUUAUAU
rnacentral:rRNA from 1 species